UUUCAACCUCUCUUCUCACCUUAUUUAAACUUUGUUUCUGAAAGUUUUUUUUCUUCUUCAUCUCAACUCUAAAACCAGAUUUGGCAUCUAGAACUUUCUUUGGUGAAGAAAAUCCUUUGCCAGUCAUUUAUGAAAAGUUUGUUGCUUUCGCUGAGCUAAAGGAUCAAGGUUUUGAUCUCUCUAAUGAUGUCACUUCUCAACAAUGGGGGAAAGUACUUUGAC
rnacentral:lncRNA from 1 species